rnacentral:misc_RNA from 1 species
GUCAACAGGCUGGAUACUAUUGCGGAGUUUGUGAAUGUGUUGUAAAAGAUUCAGCAAAUUACUUGGACCACAUUAAUGGAAAGAAACAUCAGAGAGCUUUGGGUAUGUCAAUGCGUGUGGAGCGUGCUUCCCUUCAGCAGGUCCAAGAUCGAUUUGAAACAUUGAAGAAGCGGAAAGUUCCAGGCACCUUUAGUGAGCGAGAUUUGGA